GCACUGCUGAGGAGUCCCAUAAUAGGAUGAGACGGCCGUCCAGUGC
rnacentral:hammerhead_ribozyme from 1 species